rnacentral:rRNA from 1 species
UACGUAGGGGGCAAGCGUUGUCCGGAAUCAUUGGGCGUAAAGCGCGCGUAGGCGGCCCUGUAAGUCCGUUGUGAAAGUCAAAGGCUCAACCUUUGAAAGCCGAUGGAUACUGCAGGGCUAGAGUCCGGAAGAGGCGAGUGGAAUUCCUGGUGUAGCGGUGGAAUGCGCAGAUAUCAGGAGGAACACCCGUGGCGAAAGCGGCUCUCUGGGACGGUACUGACGCUGAGACGCGAAAGCGUGGGGAGCAAACAGG